rnacentral:misc_RNA from 1 species
GUGAUCUGCCAGGCUUCGCUUGUGGACCAAANCAUCCUAAAAACACUGCCAAANUUGUGCAAGGCCUUUUCAUUUUAGGCUUGUGCCUGCAGCGCUUCAAAANA